GUUUCUUCAAACCAUACAGUUUAUAUGCUAUGGUUUGGAUAUGGGGCUUGCUGGCUGUAGGAAAAUGGUCUAGCUGUCCUGAAAUGUAUUAGCAAGGCUCUUGUUACUAGUCUCUAAGGUGUGAUAUAUAUCUAUACCAAGGGAUUUUAGUCUCAUUAAAUGCAGUCUGGCUUUUAAACAGUCUCUUUUGUGGGGCGAGCGAACUUCUGACC
rnacentral:misc_RNA from 1 species